rnacentral:lncRNA from 1 species
AUUAAGAAAGAGAGAAGAAAGGAAAGAGAAAUUAUUGCUUAACUAGUGCGCUAAAUUGUCUAAACACGGUAAACAACAUAUUAAAAAUAGGAGUUGAGCUGGAAUACUAUUGGUAGCAAACGGGUUCCGUUGUCAUCCAUUUGUUUUCAAUGAUGAGCCUCCAAAUCGAUGAUCGGCACUGUUGAAAAUAAUCUAUAUAGAAAUCAAAUUUCAUGCUUUUUCGAUAUUGUUCUCUUGUCCAUCAAAUGGGUGUAAAAAUGAAUGGCUGAAAAUGAAUAUCUUUUUAAAAAUGAUGAUACGAAUUUUCUAAUCAAGAUCGAGAGUAUAGAUCUUGUUCUAAAUAGUUUAAAGAAUUUUCUAACCAAAAUUCAAUUGAUGUGGAUAACUUUACACCGUUAAACGAAAAAACGCCUCAUAUCUACCAUUAAAAUUAUAAAUUUUGAAACUUUUUGAUCAUUAGGUCAAUAAUGUCGAAAAGAUUUGAAAUUUGGUUUCUAAAUAUUUCAAGUAGUAUAGAUCAUGUUUGUCACGCCCCGGGUUACAGCGGAAGCUUACCAGGCGCGUGCACAGACCCGCCGUGUACACCAAACACCCCCGAUGCAUACAAAGCGUCUACGACAAAACAUAAAGAAAAGUAUCAACCCACUUCAACAAAUUCAUGAUUUAGCGACAUUUACUCUGCAGCAUUUAUUUAAAUAACGCUAAUUAAUAUAUUGAACAGCAUUACUUGAUAAGUGACUCUAGAUUUAAUAAUUUAGCAGUAAUUUACUAUUAAUAUUGUAAAAUAGAAUAAAUUAGCUGCAUAAAUUAGUAAAUGCCGCUGAAGUUUCCAGCAUUUUAUAAAAAAUGACACUAAAUGUAAUAAAGUAGCAGCACUUAUUGCUAAAUACCACAAUAUUUGCUCCGUAAUAUUUAUUUAAAUCAUGCUAAUUAAUAUAUUUAGCAGCAUUACUUGAUAAUUACCGCUAGAUUUACUUAUUUAGCGGCAAUAUUUUAUUAAUGUUGCAAAAUAGAAUAAAUUAGCAGCAUAAAUUAGUGAAUGCCGCUAAAUAUAAUAAACUAGCAGCACUUAUUGCUAAAUAUCAUUACUAAUUAAUAUAUAAUUAUUAAUAUAUCCCUUUUUAUUUAGAAUUAAAAAUUUUAAAAUUAAAGUUUAAAAUUUGAAACAUAUAAUUUUAAAAAUUAAAAUUUAAAUUUAAAAUUUUAAAUUUUAAAAUCCAAAAUUUUUAAUUUUUAAUUUUUAAUUUUUAAAUUUUUAAAUUUAUUUUAAAUUUAAAAUUUCAAAUUUAAAACUAUAAAUUUUUGAAACUUAAAAUUUGAUAUUAAAAAAUAAAAAAUUUAAAUUUAGUAUCUAAAUUUAAAAUUUUAAAUUUUAAAAUAGAAGACUUAAAAUUUAAAAAAUUAAAAUGUACGUAACUAAUAGUCGCUAGCGCAAGUGGCAAAGGGCUUGGUGGUUGGUACUUGAGAUCUCAAGUUCAAAUCCUAGUUGAUUCACAUUUCCAGCAAAGUUUAUUUCUAAAAGAAAUAAACGAAACGUGUAUCACCUAAAAGAAAAUAAAAAAUUGGAUUUAAAAUAAAAUUUAAAAUUUAAAAUUUCAGUUUCUAAAAUCAAAUAUUUGUAUUAGCGGCAUUAUAUUUAUAUGCCACUAAUAAACAAUUUAAAAUUAGCAUUUAAUCACUUUUAGUGGUAUGUUCCUAAUGACACUAAUUGAUUUACAUUGGCGGCAUUUAUAAUGAAUACUGCUAAUACUUUUAGUAACAUUGGCAUAUCAGCAUUUGUUGAUCAUUUAGCAGCAUAAAUAAAUGCCACUAAUGACUACAGUAGCAUCCGUACGGAUGCUACAGUAACUUUUUUUUUUUUUUUUGCUUGAAACAAUAGAUUAAAUUGUUUAAUCAGUUUAUGAUUUUUUGAAUCAACAAAAAACGAUCUAUCAAUCGUUCGACCGGCGAAGAACGAUUUAAACUACCCAAUUCACAAUUUUAAUCUUGAAAAACAUGAGGAUGGCUAUGAUACCACUGUUAGAAAAUUGCGUACGGUAAAAACGUAGCGGAAAAAGAAAUCGUACAACUUUGAUUUUAAAAACUCUCGAGAUUCAGUCUAAAAUAUCAC